rnacentral:rRNA from 1 species
GUGCUUCGAGUGAGGCUCGGCCUGACCUCCCAACCCUUGCCUACCUACGCGCGUUGCUUCGGCGGCCGCGGGCUCCUGCGGGCUCGCCCGCCCGAGGACCGUCUCCAAACGCUGUCAUCGUGGGGCUCUGAGUGUAUGACCCAACACUAAAACUUUCAACAACGGAUCUCUUGGCUCUGGUGUCGAUGAAGAACGCAGCGAAAUGCGAUAAGUAGUACGAAUUGCAGAAUUCAGCGAAUGAUCGAAUCUUUGAACGCACAUUGCGCCCCCUGGCAUCCCGGGGGGCACGCCUGUCCGAGCGUCAUUGCGCCCCUCAAGCCUGGCUUGGUACCUGGGCCACGCCCCUCGCGGGGCGGGUCUCAAACCCCUGGGCGGUGCCGCCCCCGCCCGGCGUGACCAGGAGCACCCCUCCACACGCCGGCGCGGGCGGUGCCCGCCGCGCGAAUGACCCUCCAGUUUGACCUCGGAUCAGGCGGGGAUACCCGCUGAACUUAAGCAUAUCAAUA